CUCCCAUAUUGGAGAUGGAGUAUCCAUGGACCGCGAUCAAGAAUUUUGAUCUUGACUAAAAGACCUUCUCUCUUGAUGUCUUUGAGCGACGGGGCCGUCUUUCACUAUCAUUGGGGACUUGUUGUACUCAAUCCUGGCCUUUCCGAGGCUUACCUCAUCCAUUGCAACUGUAUAUAGCAUUGUAUAUGUAUAACUCAUAAGCAUGAGUUUUACUGUAUUACUGAACAUGUACAAUUAGUGUUUUUACUGUUCUAUUUAUAGUGAGAUGGACUUUGAUGUACACUAAUGAAGUCUUACUCCUUCUCAAGGGGAUAGAUCAUCUUUUACCAAGAUAGGACAUCUUAUAUUCAUUAUAUCUUGUUAAUUGUACAACAUUACUGUAUAUACUGAGAUAUUUAGCUGUUGUUUAAUUACUGUGUGGUGUGUAGACUGUUUUACCUGUAUUUUAGUGUAGUAUCAAGUUUAUUAUAACAAUAACAAUAACUAUUUAGCUAACUAUGAUGGCAGUAGUGUCGUUAUUACUCCAAAGAA